AUUCAAGCAAUCCUCCUGCCUUGGCCUCCCAAAGUGCUGGGAUUACAGGCUCUGCCAGCAGAGAAGAGGAGAAGAGGAGAAGCAGCGGGAUGUCUGAGACUAUGGUUGGACGUUAGAGAGAAGCAGCUUGACUUCAGAGGGAUGGCUUGACAACAUUGCUUCGGAGAGGAGUGCGGUGGGGGAUGGCUGGACUCCGGGGAAGGUUAUCUUCCCACUCCAUCCCCAUUUCAGCUCCCCUUCCCACUGAGAGCCACUUUCAUUGGCAAUAAAAUCCCCCGAACUUACCAUCUCCAA